rnacentral:rRNA from 1 species
UACGAAGGGGGCUAGCGUUGCUCGGAAUCACUGGGCGUAAAGCGCACGUAGGCGGCUUUCUAAGUCAGGGGUGAAAUCCUGGAGCUCAACUCCAGAACUGCCUUUGAUACUGGAGAGCUUGAGUCCGGAAGAGGUGAGUGGAACUCCGAGUGUAGAGGUGAAAUUCGUAGAUAUUCGGAAGAACACCAGUGGCGAAGGCGGCUCACUGGUCCGGUACUGACGCUGAGGCGCGAAAGCCAGGGGAGCAAACGGG